rnacentral:rRNA from 1 species
CAUGCAAGUCGAGCGGUAACAGAGAGGUGCUUGCACCUUUGCUGACGAGCGGCGGACGGGUGAGUAAUGCUUGGGAACAUGCCUUGAGGUGGGGGACAACAGUUGGAAACGACUGCUAAUACCGCAUAAUGUCUACGGACCAAAGGGGGCUUCGGCUCUCGCCUUUAGAUUGGCCCAAGUGGGAUUAGCUAGUUGGUGAGGUAAUGGCUCACCAAGGCGACGAUCCCUAGCUGGUUUGAGAGGAUGAUCAGCCACACUGGGACUGAGACACGGCCCAGACUCCUACGGGAGGCAGCAGUGGGGAAUAUUGCACAAUGGGCGCAAGCCUGAUGCAGCCAUGCCGCGUGUGUGAAGAAGGCCUUCGGGUUGUAAAGCGCUUUCAGUCAGGAGGAAAGGUUAGUAGUUAAUACCUGCUAGCUGUGACGUUACUGACAGAAGAAGCACCGGCUAACUCCGUGCCAGCAGCCGCGGUAAUACGGAGGGUGCGAGCGUUAAUCGGAAUUACUGGGCGUAAAGCGUACGCAGGCGGUUUGUUAAGCGAGAUGUGAAAGCCCCGGGCUCAACCUGGGAACUGCAUUUCGAACUGGCAAACUAGAGUGUGAUAGAGGGUGGUAGAAUUUCAGGUGUAGCGGUGAAAUGCGUAGAGAUCUGAAGGAAUACCGAUGGCGAAGGCAGCCACCUGGGUCAACACUGACGCUCAUGUACGAAAGCGUGGGGAGCAAACAGGAUUAGAUACCCUGGUAGUCCACGCCGUAAACGAUGUCUACUAGAAGCUCGGAACCUCGGUUCUGUUUUUCAAAGCUAACGCAUUAAGUAGACCGCCUGGGGAGUACGGCCGCAAGGUUAAAACUCAAAUGAAUUGACGGGGGCCCGCACAAGCGGUGGAGCAUGUGUUUAAUUCGAUGCAACGCGAAGAACCUUACCUACACUUGACAUACAGAGAACUUACCAGAGAUGGUUUGGUGCCUUCGGGAACUCUGAUACAGGUGCUGCAUGCUGUCGUCAGCUCGUGUUGUGAGAUGUUGGGUUAGUCCCGCAACGAGCGCAACCCCUAUCUUAGUUGCUAGCAGGUAAUGCUGAAAACUCUAAGGGAGACUGCCGGUGAUAAACCCGAAGAAGGUUG